AUGAUCCUGGGGGCUGUGGUGGUCCUGGAGUCCGGGUGGGGGUCCUUGGGGUCUCUGAUCCGCGGGGGGGGGAUCCCAGGGUCUGGUCAGGGGUCCCUGGGGUCUAUGAUGCACGGGGAGGAGUUCCGAGGUCCCCAUUCAGGGUGGGGGUGCUCGUCCCCAGGGGUCGGACAGGGGUCCCGGAGGGGAUGGGGGUGCGCGUGCGGGGCGGGAAUCGGGGGCGCGUGCAGGCGAGGCUGGGGCGCGUGCAGGAGGGGCGGGGGCGCGCUCGGGGGGGGGUGGGAGUCGGGGGCGCGUGCUCGCUCGAGACGGGGGCGCGCGCAAGAGGGGCGGGGGCGCGCGGGGAGUCGGAGGCGCGCGUGGAGAGUCGGGGACGCGCGCGAGGUGGGAAUCAGGGGCGUGCGCAGUGGAGCGGGGGCGCGCUCGGGGCGGGAGUUGGGGCGCGCUCUGGGGAGUCGGGGACGCGCUCUGGAGAGUCGGGGACGCGUGGGGGCGGGGGCGUGCUCGGGGCGGGAGUCGGGGUUGUGCGCGGGGCGGGGGCGCGCGCGGGGCGGGAGUCGGGGGCUCCGGCAGGCGAGGCUGGGGCGCGGGCGCACUCGGCAGGGGGGGGGGGAGUCGGGGGCGCGCGCGCGAGACGGGGGCGCGCGCAGGAGGGGCUGGGGAACACAGGAGAGUCGGGGGCGCGCGCGCGGGGCUGGAGUCGGGGCGCGCGCGGGACUCAGGGCGCGAGCAGGGGCGGGGGCGCGCUGGGGAGUCGGGGGCGCGCUCAGGGCGGGGAGCGUGGGCACGCGCGGGGGGGCGGGCCGUGGGCGCGCUCAGGGCGUGGGCGCGCUCGGGAGGGUCGGGGACGCUCGGGGAGCGGGGGCGCGAGCGCGGGGCAGGAGUCGGGGGCGCGCUGGGGCGUGGGCGCGCUCUGGGAGUCGGGGGCGCGCGCAGGGCGGGGGCGCGCUCUGGAGAGUCGGGGACGCGUGGGGGCGUGGGCGCGCUCGGGGCGGGAGUUGGGGGCGCGCGCAGGGCGGGGAUGCGCUCGGGGCGGGAGUCGGGGGCGCGCUCGGGGCGGGAGUCGGGGGCGCGCGCAGGGCGGGGGCGCGCGCGGGCGGGGCGCGCGCCGGGCGGGAGUCGGGGGCGCGCGUGGAGAGUCCGGGACGCGCGCGAGGUGGGAAUCAGGGGCGUGCGCAGUGGAGCGGGGGCGCGCUCGGGGCGGGAGUUGGGGGCGCGCUCUGGGGAGUCGGGGACGCGUGGGGGCGGGGGCUUGCUCGGGGCGGGAGUCGGGGUUGCGCGCGGGGCGGGGGCGCGCGGGGGCGGGAGUCGGGGGCGCGGGCAGGCGAGGCUGGGGCGCGGGCGCACUCGGCAGGGGGGUGGGAGUCGGGGGCGCGCGCGCGAGACGGGGGCGCGUGCAGGAGGGGCUGGGGAGCACGGGAGAGCCGGGGGCGCGCGCGCGGGGCUGGAGUCGGGGCGCGCGCGGGACUCAGGGCGCGAGCAGGGGCGGGGGCGCGCUGGGGAGUCGGGGGCGCGCUCAGGGCGGGGAGCGUGGGCGCGCGCGGGGGGGCGGGCCGUGGGCGUGCGCAGGGCGGGGGCGCGCUCUGGAGAGUCGGGACGCGUGGGGCGUGGGCGCGCUCGGGGCGGGAGUCGGGGGCGCGCGCAGGGCGGGGAUGCGCUCGGGGCGGGGAGUCGGGGGCGCGCUCGGGGCGGGAGUCCGGGGCGCGCGGGGGGGGGCGUGGGCGCGCUCGGGGCGGGAGUCGGGGGCGCGCGCGGGGCGGGGGCGCGCGCGGGCGUGGGCGCGCUCGGGCGGGAGUCGGGCGCGCGCGCAGGGCGGGGGCGCGCUCGGGAGGGUCGGGGACGCGCGGGGAGCGGGGGCGCGGGAGUCGGGGGCGCGCGGGGGCGUGGGCACGCUCGGGGCGGGAGUCGGGGGUGCGCGCAGGGCGGGGGCGCGCGCGGGGCGGGAGUCGGGGGCGCGCGCGGGGCGGGAGUCGGGGGCGCGCGGGGGCGUGGGCACGCUCGGGGCGGGAGUCGGGGGUGCGCGCAGGGCGGGGGCGCGCUCGGGGCGGGAGUCGGGGGUGCGCGCAGGGCGGGGCCGCGCGAAGGGCGGGAGUCGGGGGCGCGCGGGGGCGCGGGCGCGCGCGGGGCGGGAGGCGGGGGCGCGCGCGGGGCGGGAGUCGGGGGCGCGCGCGCGCGGGGCGGGGCGUGGGCGCGGCGCGGGGCGGGCCGGCGCGGGCGCGUUUCCGCCGUCGGGCCCGGGGCUCCGAGUCCGGCCGGCGGCGCGGAAGCGGCGGCGGCGGCGGCGGCGGCGGCGGCGGCGGCGGGGCAGCCAUGUCGCCUUUGUCCGCGGCGCGGGCGGCCCUGCGGGUGUACGCGGUGGGCGCGGCGCUGGUCGUGGCGCAGCUGCUGCGUCGCUGCGUGCGGGGCUUCGUGGAGCCAGUCUUCUCUCCACAACCGGAACGUGUUGCCAUAGUGACCGGAGGGACCGAUGGCAUUGGAUACUCGACCGCAAAGCAGCUGGCGAAGCUGGGCAUGCACGUCAUCAUAGUGGAGUUUCUGUAUUGCGACCUGGCGUCCAUGAGGUCUAUCCGGGAGUUCGUCCAGACAUUCAAAAUGAAGAAGCUGCCCCUCCACGUCCUGGUGAAUAACGCCGGCGUGAUGAUGGUGCCCCAGAGGACCACGGACGACGGCUUUGAGGAGCACUUCGGCGUCAACUAUCUGGGGCACUUCCUGCUGACCAACCUCCUCCUGGACACCCUGCAGGAGUCGGGCGCCCCUGGCCGCAGCGCCCGGGUGGUGACCGUGUCCUCGGCCACGCACUACGUGGGGGAGCUGAACCUGGACGACCUCCAGAGCAGUACCAGCUACUCGGCGCACGCAGCCUAUGCGCAGAGCAAGCUGGCCCUGGUGCUGUUCACAUACCACCUGCAGGCGCUGCUGAGUGCCCGGGGCAUCCCCGUGACCGCCAGCGUGGCCGACCCCGGCGUGGUGGACACCGACCUCUACAGACACGUCUUCUGGGGCACCCGGCUCGUCAAGAAGCUCCUGGGCUGGUGGGUUUUCAAGACCCCAGAUGAGGGAGCCUGGACCUCCGUCUAUGCCGCAGUCACCCCAGCCCUGGAAGGUCUCGGUGGCCGCUAUCUCUACAACGAGAGGGAGACCCGGUCUCUGGAGGCCACGUACGACCCGGAGCUUCAGCGGCAGCUCUGGGCCAGAAGCUGCCAGUUGACAGGCAUCACCGACGUGACCCGGGAGACCUUCGGCGAGUAGCGGGCUGCCGGGAAGACUGUGGUCCGACCCAGGGAACAUCACGGUCUGUGCCGCCCUCACAGGUCUGUUUGUGCUGGACCACAUCUCUCCAUCACCCUCAUCCCCCCGACCCUCAAGGCUCUGUAUCCCCCCAGGGUCUCCCGUCGAG
rnacentral:lncRNA from 1 species